rnacentral:lncRNA from 1 species
UGAGAACGGAGCGCAAAGGGGGAUGCCUAGCUUCGAUUAUCAGUUACCCAUUUCAAGUCUUUGGUAUAUUUCCUUUGUGCUGAAUUUUUGUUGUGAAUGUUGGUUUUGGACUUUUUGUUCAUAGUUUUAGUUAUUUAUCGUGUUUCUUAGCGCAGUGGUGCAAGCGGACUUUCUUUCCUUUUUAUAUUGAGAUGUUUCUUAGCUCUUUAAUGUUACAUUAGGAUGGUAUAAGGAAUAUGUAGAGCACUGACUUUCAUUGUUUCUUAGCUCUUUCCUUUUUAUGGUUUGCUUGAAUGAAACUAUAUAAACCAGUGAUGAGAAAAGUGACUUAUAACCUUCUAAUUGAAGAUAAGUAUCUCUAUUCUUCCCUGUGAAUGUGGGUUUCAAUUCAAGGUUCUCGAGGCUAUGCCUAAAGAUAAUUUCAACAAUCUGCCCUAGGUUUAAAGUGAUAGCUUUCUGCUUCAGAUGUGUAGGUUGAACCAUGCCGAAUGUUCCAUUUCCAAUUUCUGUUAUGGGUAUAAUAAGUUCAUUAUUUAACAUCAGUAUAUUAGUUUUGAUAGACUAAAUGUACUGCGUCAUGAGACAAACUUAUCUACCCUUUGUUUAUUUUUUGAUAAGAAUCUACACUUUGUUUAUCUUUAUAAGUAGUCCAGCAUUGUCCCCUUUUAUGAAAUUAGUAGUAGAUAGCUUAUAAAUCUAGAUAGGCCUUUGAUGGCGCAAGAUGAGUUUUAUUAGAAGCAGUACAGAAAUGCUUGAAGCCUUCACGGUUUUUUUCCAAAUGGUGCACCAUUUAGUAGCUUAAAGUACCGAUGAUAUGACCAAACUUCUCAUUGACGACUACUUUGUCAAAUAUCCUAACAAUACCUUAUGUGUUUCUAGAGUAUCCGUCAUUUCCCCUUUUACUUAGUAGUCUAGUAUUACCACCAAAGAUGUAUAAUCUUUUACUCCAAAUCCUUCUUCUUUCUCAUGUGUCAAUGUCUUCCCUUGGGUGGAUGGAUAAGCUUUGCACUUCAAAGUGUUCCUUUCUAGGUUAGACUUUAUCGUGUUGAAAGUUCUAUAUGAUAUUAUAAGAAAGUUUGUCCUAAUGUAGCACUUGAUUGAAAUGAAGUAUCUUUGAAUAAACUAUUUCACAUACAGAAGAGAGUGUUUUGUUUUGAGGAGUAGGUGAAUCAAACCAUGAUAUAAUAGGGUGGAGAGCAACAAAAAUUAGUAGAACUUACACAACUAUUUUUUGUAAAUGCAUUUGCACUAGUUGUUGCUUAGUGACCAUGAGGACACGAAUUCAAAUCCUGUAAAUAGCCUCUCCACUUGUGGAGGUAAGGCUACAUAUAUCUAUCAUUCCCAGACCCCACUAAGUGGGAACUUCGUGCAUUGAGUUGGCUUUUUUUCUUUCACUUUAAGAAGUUCGGAACUAGUUUACAAUUUAACAUAAUGAAGGAUGUUUAGUGAACUUAAGAUAAUAGCUAGCAUAAUCAAUUUGCACUGCAACUCUAAGGAGCCCACUUGAAAUAAGAUUAAAAAUAC